ensembl:snRNA U2 U2 spliceosomal RNA
AUCGCUUCUUGGCCGUUUGGCUAAGAUCAAGUGUAGUAUCUGUUCUUAUCAGUUUAAUAAAUAACUAAAUCAGCAUUUAUCCGUGAGACCAACAGUCCUCAGGUAUAGAGAUGCUUU